UACAGAGGUCUCAAGCGUUGUUCGGAUUCAUUGGGCGUAAAGGGCGCGUAGGCGGCGGGGUAAGUCGGGUGUGAAAUCUCAGAGCUCAACUCUGAAACUGCACUCGAUACUGCUCUGCUUGAGGACUGGAGAGGAGACUGGAAUUCACGGUGUAGCAGUGAAAUGCGUAGAUAUCGGGAGGAACACCAGUGGCGAAGGCGACUUCCUGGCCUGUUCUUGACGCUGAGGCGCGAAAGCUAGGGUAGCAAACGGG
rnacentral:rRNA from 1 species